rnacentral:rRNA from 2 species
AAAACGACUCUCGGCAACGGAUAUCUAGGCUCUCGCAUCGAUGAAGAACGUAGCAAAGUGCGAUACUUGGUGUGAAUUGCAGAAUCCCGUGAACCAUCGAGUUUUUGAACGCAAGUUGCGCCCGAAGCCAUUAGGCUGAGGGCACGUCUGCCUGGGCGUCUC